CCGAGAGCGCUGAGAAAAAUAUGUAGCCUGUGUGUUCGCCAAAGAGAAGAGCCUAUGACAAAGCAUUUGUGCUCCUUCUUGGUCCAUGCGUGUGUGUGUUUGAGUUUCUUCCAUGUGUGUGUGUUCUUGUGUUCUUGAGAGAAGAAGAUAGAGAGAAACCACAAGAGAGUUGUGUGAAGAAACCAGAGGAAGAACAAGAGCGGCACCGCGAGGAGCAGCGGCCCCAACAUUCCGUCGACCACAUGCGAACAAUUUUACAUGUCCGUUGUCCACACUGUUUGUUGAGUUCAUUGCGGCGUAUCUUCGUGCUCGGUGAGCAACUGUCCAAUUCCUUUUGUACACCUCCGAAACAUCACUCAAGUUAUAUCCUAGACAUCUUGGUUCCUCCUAUUUUUGUCAUUGGGCGCGUCGUUGCCGCCACGCGCAUGAACCUAAUUUUAUUCAAUGGAAUUCACAUGUUUCCAUCGUUUUUGUUCGCCAUAUGAUCUCAAGUCUAAUAGAUGAAAUGUUCGGUAUGUCCAGCAGCAUGUAGCAGGCUAGAUAACUCCUCUGGAUGGCAGCACCAUAUCAAAUUACUAAUCAACUUACUGUAAGAAGCCGUAACGUGUAGCUGCAGUUUUUAUUGGUUCCAGAGAGGCUGUCCACUUCCUAAAAAAGAGAGAGAGGAUGUCCACUUCCUAAGAAAGAGAGAAAGGCUGUCCACAGUCCAGCAUCAUGUAGCAGGCUAGCGGCUAGUACAACAGAACUUAUUCUCAAAACAAAAAGUUGUUGAGGCUCCCCUGCUAAGUACUUUACCCUCUGUUUGUUAAUAUGACUGCUUUAUAUAUAUGUAAGGCUCUCCUGCUAUUUGGAUGUUGAGGAUUUAACAAGAACGCAUGGCUUCCUUAGGUUAGGAAACUACAUUUUGCACUGAAAAUAUACAACAUCUCUGUUGUUGUACAGAACUUGUAGCAGCAGUCAGCAUACUAUUUUUUACCAUCUCUUUUGGACUGAAAUAUACAACAUUUUGUACAGUAUUAUGGUCCAGAAGAUCCAUCUCUUCCAUGCUGACUUUAUUUUGUUCGCAUUUCCUAAGAUUGCUUAAAGAUAUAAGUUCUUUUGCAGGGACAAAGUAGCAAGUACUGAAAUUGGUCUAAGAUGUUCCGCUGAUCGCUUUUGUCCAUAACAUGGAACAUGGUCGACGCAUUUUGUUUAUAUGGAAGUUGAUGUCGAAGACUGGGUAUCCUCCAUAAUAUUUUGUAGUAGUCAAGUGAUCGAACGAUUGGUCUCUUGAGAACUUGCUCAUCAUAUUUUGUAAUAGACCAUGACCUGAAUGUCGACUUGGGUAUUUCCUUAAUGGCUGUAGCUAACUUGAGUGAAGACAACUAGUUAAUCUUCUAUAUAUGUUGAAUGAAUGCAUUGGCUGUUAACUUCUGAUGAAUGGAAGAGUGCAAUUGGAAUCAUCUAUAUAUGUUGAAUGAAUGAAUUGGCUGUUAUCUCCUCAUGAAUAGAAGAGUGUAAUUGUAUUGCAUACUGAACAUGAAUUGAAUAGCA
rnacentral:lncRNA from 1 species